CUUUGACAUAAAAUGAACGGAAGGAAUAUGAGCCAUGAGGCAUAAGCAAGUAUGAGUCAAUCAUUGUCUAUGUAACAAUUGAUUAUUAUAUUCAUUAGUUUGAUAUAAACACGUAAAUAAGUUUUGACUCCCUCUUUUGGAAUGAGACUUGCUAUAAAAAGAACAUAUUUGGAGGCCAAGAUGUUAACCAAGUUUAGUGAGGAAGAGGAAGAAAUUAAGUAUGUCUAUCAACAAAGGCACUACUACACGUGCUUUGUUAGUGAUGGUUUUAGUUGUGUUCUCCAUGAAUUCUUGGUGUGAAUACGGUGAAGCAGCAAGAAUAUUCUUAGACUUCUCCACAAGUAUUCAAGCUAUGCGAAGGAUGGACAGCCUGGGCAGCAGCCACCGCCGGAGCACCAGGGCAUCGCCCCGUGGGGGCAAUCCUUCCCCGGCAGCGAAUGUGAACGACCAUGUCCAUCACUAGUGCUGUAUCUCUAUUUUGUUGUGGACUUAAUUCUCUUUUGUCAUUUGAUUAUAGUAAAGAGACUUUGUUUAAUUUUAUUUGUGUUUAUGAGAUUUCAAAUAUAAAAGGAAUGAAAGUAAAAUUUAACUUAG